AAAUAUGAGUGCAUAAAUUAAUUAAUUUAUUAGAGUUUCGUGUAUGUUUUCGCGAAUUUUUUAUCUUUUUUUUUUUUUUAUUUCUUUUUUUUCUUUUUUGUUGAUGAUUUUUGAUGAUUUUGUUGAAGAAAUGCAUUGAAAGUAUAAUGAAGCACUCUUCGCGUUUUCUUUUAAGAUUUUAGCAUAUUAGUGUUGCGAAAUAAAAAAAAAAUUCCACUCACGGUUUAUUCGGAUUUACAUUGAGUGGAUAAUUAUUUUGGUAACCCUUCUGGUUACCUUUUUUUGUCGUUUUUCUCUUUUCAGCAUCCCCCUUGUUAAGAGCACUUGUUUACUAUAAGUUUAAAAAUCUAUUUUAU